GAUGAACGCUGGCGGCGUGCCUAAUACAUGCAAGUCGAGCGAACGGACGAGAAGCUUGCUUCUCUGAUGUUAGCGGCGGACGGGUGAGUAACACGUGGAUAACCUACCUAUAAGACUGGGAUAACUUCGGGAAACCGGAGCUAAUACCGGAUAAUAUUUUGAACCGCAUGGUUCAAAAGUGAAAGACGGUCUUGCUGUCACUUAUAGAUGGAUCCGCGCUGCAUUAGCUAGUUGGUAAGGUAACGGCUUACCAAGGCAACGAUGCAUAGCCGACCUGAGAGGGUGAUCGGCCACACUGGAACUGAGACACGGUCCAGACUCCUACGGGAGGCAGCAGUAGGGAAUCUUCCGCAAUGGGCGAAAGCCUGACGGAGCAACGCCGCGUGAGUGAUGAAGGUCUUCGGAUCGUAAAACUCUGUUAUUAGGGAAGAACAUAUGUGUAAGUAACUGUGCACAUCUUGACGGUACCUAAUCAGAAAGCCACGGCUAACUACGUGCCAGCAGCCGCGGUAAUACGUAGGUGGCAAGCGUUAUCCGGAAUUAUUGGGCGUAAAGCGCGCGUAGGCGGUUUUUUAAGUCUGAUGUGAAAGCCCACGGCUCAACCGUGGAGGGUCAUUGGAAACUGGAAAACUUGAGUGCAGAAGAGGAAAGUGGAAUUCCAUGUGUAGCGGUGAAAUGCGCAGAGAUAUGGAGGAACACCAGUGGCGAAGGCGACUUUCUGGUCUGUAACUGACGCUGAUGUGCGAAAGCGUGGGGAUCAAACAGGAUUAGAUACCCUGGUAGUCCACGCCGUAAACGAUGAGUGCUAAGUGUUAGGGGGUUUCCGCCCCUUAGUGCUGCAGCUAACGCAUUAAGCACUCCGCCUGGGGAGUACGACCGCAAGGUUGAAGCUCAAAGGAAUUGACGGGGACCCGCACAAGCGGUGGAGCAUGUGGUUUAAUUCGAAGCAACGCGAAGAACCUUACCAAAUCUUGACAUCCUUUGACAACUCUAGAGAUAGAGCCUUCCCCUUCGGGGGACAAAGUGACAGGUGGUGCAUGGUUGUCGUCAGCUCGUGUCGUGAGAUGUUGGGUUAAGUCCCGCAACGAGCGCAACCCUUAAGCUUAGUUGCCAUCAUUAAGUUGGGCACUCUAAGUUGACUGCCGGUGACAAACCGGAGGAAGGUGGGGAUGACGUCAAAUCAUCAUGCCCCUUAUGAUUUGGGCUACACACGUGCUACAAUGGACAAUACAAAGGGCAGCGAAACCGCGAGGUCAAGCAAAUCCCAUAAAGUUGUUCUCAGUUCGGAUUGUAGUCUGCAACUCGACUACAUGAAGCUGGAAUCGCUAGUAAUCGUAGAUCAGCAUGCUACGGUGAAUACGUUCCCGGGUCU
rnacentral:rRNA from 1 species